rnacentral:rRNA from 1 species
GACAUACACCGGAUCGGGCGUAGAGAUAGUCUUUUCCCCUUUGUGGCUGGUGUACAGGUGGUGCAUGGUUGUCGUCAGCUCGUGUCGUGAGAUGUUGGGUUAAGUCCCGCAACGAGCGCAACCCUUGUCUUAUGUUGCCAGCACGUGAUGGUGGGGACUCAUGAGAGACUGCCGGGGUUAACUCGGAGGAAGGUGGGGAUGACGUCAAAUCAUCAUGCCCCUUAUGUCCAGGGCUUCACACAUGCUACAAUGGUCGGUACAACGCGUGUGCGACACUGUGAGGUGAAGCUAAUCGCUCUAAAGCCGGUCGUAGUUCGGAUUGGGGUCUGCAACUCGACCCCAUGAAGUCGGAGUCGCUAGUAAUCGCAGAUCAGCAACGCUGCGGUGAAUACGUUCCCGGGCCUU